rnacentral:lncRNA from 1 species
GCGGAAUGUCUGAAUGAAAAUUAGGUUAUUUUUUUUGUUGUUGAAAAUUAGGUUAUUUUAAUUAAGGAAGCCUGGAAUGCUGGGAAGGUCCCGGUACCAUCAGCGCCCCCAUCUGCCUUCCUGAGCUUUCUGCUCUACAGGGAGUGAUACUGUCCUCCUGGUUUUCACCCCACAGCGCCCUGUGGGUAAUAAGUGUUUGUUGAGCAGCAGGACCCUGGGAGAGACCGGGCCUCCCAGCACUGCUGGCAUGCUUUUCCUGGGGUCCCUGGAGCCGGGGGAAGGAUCCAGAUGCCACCUCCCCCAGUGACCCAGCUCAGGGUGAGUGUGCUGCCUUCCUGGCUUACUGGACCCUUGGGACUAGGUGCUUGGGAUUCUGGGAGUGGUCAUGUGUACACAGGGACCUAAGGGAUAGAGUUGACCAAUAUCCAAGGUGGAACAGGGUGUGGAGGUGAGUGAUGUGAGGUGCUCUUGUACCAGGCAAAGGGCACACAGCGCCCCAGCAGGGCUCUAGCCCCAUGGGUCUCUCACCAAUGAGGGCAGCUGGUGUGGGCAGGUCUGGAAUGCAGGUGUCCGCCCCAUGCACAGUGGGGUGCUUGGCACCAGAGCAUUCCAUCCUCUUGUGAGGAUCCAGGGAGUAUCAGGAACAAGUGACAUUGGAGCUAGGGGCUGGAAAAUGGGAAG